rnacentral:rRNA from 1 species
UGAGGAAUAUUGGUCAAUGGGCGAGAGCCUGAACCAGCCAAGUAGCGUGCAGGAAGACGGCCCUAUGGGUUGUAAACUGCUUUUAUGUGGGGAUAAAGUGCGUGACGUGUCAUGCAUUGCAGGUACCACAUGAAUAAGGACCGGCUAAUUCCGUGCCAGCAGCCGCGGUAAUGCGGAAGGUCCGGGCGUUAUCCGGAUUUAUUUGGUUUAAAGGGAGCGUAGGCUGUCUAUUAAGCGUGUUGUGAAAUAUACCGGCUCAACCGGUGGCUUGCAGCGCGAACUGGUCGACUUGAGUAUGCAGGAAGUAGGCGGAAUUCAUGGUGUAGCGGUGAAAUGCUUAGAUAUCAUGACGAACUCCGAUUGCGCAGGCAGCUUACUGUAGCAUAACUGACGCUGAUGCUCGAAAGUGCGGGUAUCAAACAGG